rnacentral:sRNA from 1 species
CUCCCAACCAAGUACUUACCCAGCCCGACCCUGCUUAGCUUCCAAGAUGAGAUGAGAUUGGGUGUGUUCAGGGUAGUAUGGCC